rnacentral:rRNA from 1 species
AUUGAACGCUGGCGGCAGGCCUAACACAUGCAAGUCGAACGAGUGGCGGACGGGUGAGUAAUGUCUGGGAAACUGCCUGAUGGAGGGGGAUAACUACUGGAAACGGUCGCUAAUACCGCAUACCAUCAGAUGUGCCCAGAUGGGAUUAGCUUGUUGGUGGGGUAACGGCUCACCAAGGCGACGAUCCCUAGCUGGUCUGCGAGGAGGACGAGCAACACUGGAACUGAGACACGGUCCAGAUGCCUACGGGAGGAAGCAGUGGGGAAUAUUGCACAAUGGGCGAAGUCCUGAUGCAGCCAUGCCGCUGGUAUGAAGAAGGCCUUCGGGUUGUAAAGUACUUUCAGCGGGGAGGCGUUACCCGCAGAAGAAGCACCGGCUAACUCCGUGCCAGCAGCCGCGGUAAUUC